rnacentral:rRNA from 1 species
ACGAACGCUGGCGGCGUGCUUAACACAUGCAAGUCGAACGGAAAGGCCCUGCUUUUGUGGGGUGCUCGAGUGGCGAACGGGUGAGUAACACGUGAGUAACCUGCCCUUGACUUUGGGAUAACUUCAGGAAACUGGGGCUAAUACCGGAUAGGAGCUCCUGCUGCAUGGUGGGGGUUGGAAAGUUUCGGCGGUUGGGGAUGGACUCGCGGCUUAUCAGCUUGUUGGUGGGGUAGUGGCUUACCAAGGCUUUGACGGGUAGCCGGCCUGGGAGGGUGACCGGCCACAUUGGGACUGAGAUACGGCCCAGACUCCUACGGGAGGCAGCAGUGGGGAAGAUUGCACAAUGGGCGGAAGCCUGAUGCAGCAACGCCGCGUGCGGGAUGACGGCCUUCGGGUUGUAAACCGCUUUCGCCUGUGACGAAGCGUGAGUGACGGUAAUGGGUAAAGAAGCACCGGCUAACUACGUG